AAUUAAAAAAAUAACAUUAUUCAGAAUCAGUAUAGCAUGUAAUAAAAACAAAUUUAUAACCUCAAAAGAACGCAAAAUAGUUUAACUAAAAGUUUUUUCAGUAAAUUUUGUUGAAUAAAACUUUGGAAAACAUAAUUUUUUAAUUUAUAACCUCAAAAAUAACCAAAAUAAUUUGGAUGUAAACAAUUUUAAAAUUAUUAUUUUUUUAUAAAUCUUUUCUAUAUGCAAUACAUAUUUUUGUUGUUUAUAUAAAUAUUAUACAUAUGUACAUACAUAUAUGUAUGUAUAGAAUUCCUAUUUUUUUAAUUUUUUUUUCAUAUUCUGCUUAAUUAUUAUGUCACUUAAUUCAGCUUAGAUGGUGUUCUUAAUCUUUUUAACUAAAUUUCAUUUAUAUUUGUUAGUAUAACUGUUUACAAUAUCUUUUAACUACUUGCGCUAAUUUCCAUAUUUUUUUACUCUUCUCUUUUUAGUUUACCAAAAUUGAAUACGAAGUGAAUGUGAGCGUGUGGCGCGAGAGAAAGUCACUUAAGUGUGUUGAUGUGGCAAGGCUCAGUUUGAGAGUGACCUUGUGUGUGUGCAGAAAGCGGAGCUUAAAGCGGUGUACACUUGCUUACAUGUAAAGGCAAAAUAAUUAAUUGGAAAAGACAGAAAAUACUUGAAAAUAUCGCAAUUGUGUAAAAUAAAGCGUGAACUAUUGAUAAAAGUAAAAAUUGUGAAGGAAAUUAACAGAAUACUGCAUAAAUAGCUAUAAUAAAGUUUGUUUGACUCGGUGAUAAACUGCAGUGAAAACAACGGGAAAAUGCAUUUCAUGUUUGUGCAAGUUUGAAC